rnacentral:rRNA from 1 species
AUUGAACGCUGGCGGCAGGCCUAACACAUGCAAGUCGAGCGAGCGGCGGACGGGUGAGUAAUGUCUGGGAAACUGCCUGAUGGAGGGGGAUAACUACUGGAAACGGUAGCUAAUACCGCAUACCAUCAGAUGUGCCCAGAUGGGAUUAGCUAGAAGGUGGGGUAACGGCUCACCUAGGCGACGAUCCCUAGCUGGUCUGAGAGGAUGACCAGCCACAGUGUAGCUGAGACACGGUCCAGACGCCUACGGGAGGCCACAGUGGGGAGUAUUGCACAAUGGGCGCAGGCCUGAUGCAGCCAUGCCGCGUGUGUGAAGAAGGCCUUCGGGUUGUAAAGCGCUUUCAGCGGGGAGGCGUUACCCUCAGAAGAAGCACCGGCUAACUCCGUGCCAGCAGCCGCGGUAAUUC